ACGUCAUGGACAGGUGACGUCAUGGACGGGUGACGUCAUGGACGGGUGACGUCAUGGACGGGUGACGUCAUACAGGUGAGACACAGGUGAGGAGAGACAGGGGUGACGUCAUACAGGUGAUGUCAUGGAUGGGUGACGUCAUACAGGUGAGAUAUGGACAGGUGAGACAUGGACAGACACACGGACAGGUGA